AGACCAAUAACAGCAACAUCCCAGGUGGGGCCGGUAUCUGUGUUUAUAAAGCUGCACAAGCAGGGAGGGGGCAGGCCCAGCAGCUCUGACCACAGGCUCAGCCCUCUGCUAGGUUAUGAAAUGGGCCCCAGUCGCUUCCUCCUGGGAGCCUUGUCCACACGGCCCUUAGCCCCAGCCUUCAGGCGUCACUUUAGGACCCGCAACCCCUGCCCACCAGGGAGGCGUCCCUGCUCAGAGCUCUGUGUGCCAGGUCUUUUCCUGUCUGCGCUCUCAUAAGGCACGUUUGAGCAUCGGAAUGAGGAAGUUUGCGUUUAUUUGGACCCUGGCCACCAACCUCUCCUGGCAAUGCCCCUUCCAUCUCUUCAGUGCCCUGCUGUGACACUCCACCUGUGGGAGAGUCUCUGCUCUAUUUUGAAGUAGGUGAGGCAACAGCAGGCUCACGUCCCCUGUGGCCCUGUCCCUGGAUAUGAGCCCCAGAUAUGGUUCCCCACCAGCCACUUCACUGCCAGACCUGAGACACUGAACCAGACACUGAACUGCCCUGCUCCACUGCAGCGACAUACCUCACUCCACAGGUUGCUCACUACUCCUGGCAUGUGGGAGACACCACGGGACCACAGAAGAAGGACCAGUCCCAACCCUGGCCACAUGCUCCCCAAACACACAGCCCAAGGGGCUGCAGCUCUGUGUCCUGACGUUACCGUCCUCUCUGGUUAUGCCCUCCUUUUAAAAUGUGGGAAAUGAGCAGUCAGUCUGCCGAAACACAGGGAGGAAGGGUCAUCUUGGUUUGGGUCUCCUUAAGAUGGGGUGGGGGCCAACCCAAGCUGGCCUUAAUUUCCAGGGGAGGAAAAACUGGUGAAGGUUCUCUCCUCCACUAGAAAACCAAUCCCAUGAGAACAAGGGCCUUGCUGUCCGCACUCACCACUCUAUCCACCCCUGGCAGUCUCUGGCACUCAGUAGGCACUCAAUAAACAGUACCUAUCAUCACCGAUUAUAAUCAGUCCCUAACAGACUCCCCAGAGCAAUAAAAACGAAUGUGACUUACAAAUCAUUCUACACACAAAAUUUUAGACACACGGCCAAUAUUAAAGUGAAACACAGCUGUUACAAACAGGCAGGAAGGAGACCUCUCCAGAUUACAGACCACCUGUGUGAAACCCAUUUUGACCACUUUAGGAGGAGCUGAGAAGACAGGGGAGGAAAUGAGGGGUUUUAGAGUGAUUGGACCAAACGUCCCCCCAAAUAAGAGCCCAUUUAUUCACUAGAGUCAGCUCCCAUCUUGAGAUGCCAGC
rnacentral:lncRNA from 1 species